UACGUAGGGUGCGAGCGUUGUCCGGAAUUAUUGGGCGUAAAGAGCUCGUAGGCGGUGUGUCACGUCGGCCGUGAAAACCUGCAGCUUAACUGUGGGCGUGCGGUCGAUACGGGCAUCACUGGAGUUCGGCAGGGGAGACUGGAAUUCCUGGUGUAGCGGUGAAAUGCGCAGAUAUCAGGAGGAACACCGGUGGCGAAGGCGGCAUCCUGGACCGACACUGACGCUGAGGAGCGAAAAGCCCAGGGGGAGCAAAACGGGG
rnacentral:rRNA from 1 species